UACGUAGGGUGCGAGCGUUGUCCGGAAUUAUUGGGCGUAAAGAGCUCGUAGGCGGUCUGUCGCGUCGGCUGUGAAAACCUGGGGCUCAACCCCGGGCCUGCAGCCGAUACGGGCAAGCUAGAAUUCGGUAGGGGAGACUGGAAUUCCUGGUGUAGCGGUGAAAUGCGCAGAUAUCAGGAGGAACACCGGUGGCGAAGGCGGGUCUCUGGGCCGAUACUGACGCUGAGGAGCGAAAGCGUGGGGAGCGAACAGG
rnacentral:rRNA from 1 species